AGAAUAAAUGAAGUAGAAUAUAAAACUCACACAUCAAAAUAUAAGUAACAAAUGUAUAUUUUGUGACAAGUAUUUAUUUUUUAAACAAACGCAAUUUUAUAUACGUUAUCUUGAAUCUAUAUGUAUGUAUAUAUCAGCUCAUAGGAGCUUAAGACUUCAGGUUAGGUUACGACAAUCGCAUUAUAACUGUGAGCGGCAAAUAAAUGAUCCAAUUGGAGCAUACGUAAAAAUACUCAACUAUAAAAUACAUGAUCUUUAAACAUUAAGUAUAGUUAUGAAACACUCAAAUAUGAAAAAUAAAUAAAAAUAACGAAGAAACAUAAUAAUCAAAAGAAUAAAGUAUUAGAUUUAAUAAAGGCUCCGUAGAAAUACAAAAUGGCAACGAUGUGUUGUCCUGUGCCAGAGGUACAGUCACAGCCGUUGGCGCUCACUUCUAUCGUUCUGAUUCCAUUUCAAUUGCACUUUCUUUCUCUCAUUUUAUUAUAUUUUUUAUUUUUUUCACUCUAUUCGUCUCGAUAACCCCGUCGAAAAUUACCUCAUCGAUAAUCGGCGCAAUGUGUCUCCUUUCUGCGGCACUAACUCAUGUCGUCGUCGCUUCAAUAUGUACUCUUCUUUCCUUUACUCUCCUCUCUCUUUUACACUCCUUUACUCUCUCACUCAACUCUAGCUUUACGUAUAUACACACACUUUUCUAGUAUCGUUCCUCACUCGCUCUCUCCAAUACACACACGUAUGUUCUUUGUGUUGGUUCGUUAAUACAUUAACUUUUGUACUAACUCACAACUUAUUUAUUACUCACACUUUUUCCUUCUUACAACAUAUACACUCACACAACUUAUUGAUGAUCACUCACUUAUACAAGCAUACUCUCAUUUUUAGUUUUUAUACUCCAAACUCAAUUGGCUUUACGACGACGACGAUGACGACGACUAUAACUACAACGACGACGUGGGACACGAAAGCACUAGUUAUAGACUAAAAAAGCAACCACAUCUUAUUGAGGAUUAAAAAAAGUUUAACUGUUGCUCCAAUCUCCAAUCUUCAAUAUAUUUAACCGAGUCCAGAACCAGAAACACUAUACUUAAACUAAAGUAACAACGGCGGCGGCGGCACUACCACCAGGGAGCAGCCACGCAUGGUAGUGCAUCGAUAGUUCAAUAUUCUACAAUCCUCUACGGUCUACAAACAAUAUUAUUUUUACAUACACAAACUUAACGGUUAUUCACAUUAUAUUUAAUAAAAUAAAAAAUGCUCACUUAAAUAUUUGGUUACGUGAUUUUAUUACCCUAAGAGAUCAGGGAUCGCUUGGAAAAAUUUAUGAUGCGCAAACGUUUUUUCCUUGCUUCCUCUAGCCUUACGCUUCGCUCGUCGUUCAUUCUAUCUCGCUUUUACACAUUGUAUCUUGUUUUGUCAGUUCCUAUUUUCAUUAGUUCUCUCUCUCUCUAGCUUACGACAAAAUUCAGAUCGACAGUUACAAAAUUCACCUUAAUCGUAUGAGGGCGUUUGUGUGGUUGUGGCGCGACAGGCGUUCGUGUAGCCUCGUUCAGCGUCGUGUGUUUACGUAAUACCGCGGCCAUGUUUUAAAAACGCGGCAAACUUUUAAAAUCAUCAAUCACAAUAUUAUUUAUGAUUUUUUUUUUUA
rnacentral:lncRNA from 1 species